rnacentral:lncRNA from 1 species
CAGGAGACCUGAUCUGAAAGAUGAAGAUGCUUCCCUCAGCAAGCACUCAUUCUGUCACACUGGGAGUGAAAUCUCAGAUUUUAUGCCUGGUGUAUUCUGCCUUAAUAUGGACCUGAAGAAGCUCAGAGGAUCCAAGCAAAGUCAAGCAAAACUGAAGAAAACAGCAGAGAGUCAUAUGAAGAGAAAAAGACAGAAGCAAAAGAAGCAUGGAAAAUGUCCCUUAUUUUCCCAUCCAGCAAAAGUAAUGGACUACAUAACUUUUUUUUAAAACUUUUUUCUGAGGUUUUCUUUUGAGAGAAAAAGCAUUCAUUCUCCUCUAUAGUCAUCUUAACUUGUUUUUGUAAUUCUGUGCUGAGAUUCUUUUACCAAGGUGUUCUGUAACAUUCAGGUGAGAAAGGGGAACUUUAUGGUUGCCUGCCUGAAAACAAUUAUGGUUACUAGGACCAUUGCUGCGAUCUGGGACAGGAACAGCAGUAGCCUCUGAUACCUCAGACAUUGUUUUUCUUCUAGCACUGCUUAUCUUAUGUUGUGGCCUGAUGGGAAAUGUGGCUGCCUUGCAGUGCUUGAGCUUCUUUCCCUCUUGUCUCAUUUUUUGAGUCUCUCCAUGCAGUUACAUCUCCAUCACUUUUAUAUCCGGGUACCUGCAGAGCCAAGUUUGACACAAUCUCAGAAGCUUUACCACAAAACCCUCAGACUCCUAAGAUCUGCAUUUGUUUCCAGGCUGUACACUAUACACAGACGCAGGGUCAAAGUGCAGAUUUCAGAAGUUCUAUUAAAACCUCUGGGAGUGUGAAAACACUACAGCAGGAAAGAAAGCAAACAACCAAAUCAAACCGAACUUUUUAAAAGAAGUUGAUAUUUACCUUAGAUUUUUUUUGCUGCUAUAUUUUCUUGUGUUUUGUCAGCCUCUAAACAUUAAACUUUUCAGUAUGUAGCAGAAUUUUUAUCUUCAGCCCUCAAAAUUUAAUGCAUAAACUGAGUCUUUUGAUUUUUUAAAAAAAGAGUCUCGGGGACAGGCAGGGAGAUUGCUGUGGACAGCAGAUUGUUGAGACAACAGACCUCACAACCCCUCCAAUGAUGGCAAUACAGCGUGGCCAGAUUCUCACCAGACAUGUGAUGACAGAAAUAAAAUUUUGGUAAAUGUUAGAGGCA